AUAGGGAGAAGAAGCACUGCGAUUGCCCUAGUAACGGCGAGUGAAGCGGCAGCAGCCCAGAUUUGGAAUCUGGUCCUUUUGGGGCCCGAGUUGUAAUCUGCAGAGGAAGCGUCUGGUGCGGUGCCGGCCUAGUUCCCUGGAACGGGACGCCGUAGAGGGUGACAGCCCCGUACGGUCGGCCACCAAACCUGUGUGUCGCUCCUUCGAAGAGUCGCGUAGUUUGGGAAUGCUGCGUAAAGUGGGAGGUAUGCUCCUCCUAAGGCUAAAUACCGGCCAGAGACCGAUAGCGCACAAGUAGAGUGAUCGAAAGAUGAAAAGCACCUUGAAAAUGGGGUUAAAAAGUACGUGAAAUUGCCAAAGGGGAAGCGCUCGUGGCCAGACUCGUGCCUUAUGGAUCAUCCGGCUAUUUCGCCGGUGCACUCCAUUAGGCUCGGGCCAGCGUCGGUCGGCGCCGGUACUAAAAGACAGCGCGAACGUGGCUCUCUUCGGGGAGUGUUAUAGCGCGCUGUGUAAUGUGCUGGCGCCGUCCGAGGACCGCGCAUUUAUGCAAGGACGCUGGCGUAAUGGCCACUAGCGACCCGUCUUGAAACACGGACCAAGGAGUCGCCCAGAGACGCGAGUGUGCGGGUGACAAACCCCUGCGCGAAGUGAAAGCGAACGCUGGUGGGAACCCUCACGGGUGCACCACCGACCGAUCCUGAUGUCUUCGGAUGGAUUUGAGUAUGAGCGUUUCUGGUCGGACCCGAAAGAGGGUGAACUAUGCUUGGGUAGGGUGAAGCCAGAGGAAACUCUGGUGGAGGCCCCGUUUGGGUUCUGACGUGCAAAUCGAUCCAUAAACCUGGGCAUAGCGGCGAAAGACUAAUCGAACCUUCUAGUAGCUGGUUCGCAUUCUCUCUCUCGCACGAGAGAGAGAAAACCUCUGUGAUAUCACGAUUAUCAGUGAAAACCACACCGAGACCCAACGGAGUUCUUCUGGAUUUCCUCAUGCUUCAAUUACCACGCCUAGUGGACCUACCUGGAGCGCUACAAUAAAGUCAUACGAAAAUCUCGAAGAUCGGGGUGACGGUGAGGGAUCCUAAGGUUCUCUCGUUGAGUGCGUUGGACGGGCAUGGCCGUCAGCGAUCUGGGGCGACCGUUGCCGGAUCAUAAGGGCUUUAGUGCUUAGGCUAUUGGUAUUGAGGGGUCUGAAGACGGUAAUCUGAAACCAAAGGCUUUAUUCUAAACCCGCGCAGCAUGGGCGUAGUAGGAAGAGACAGCGAAGUCUAG
rnacentral:rRNA from 1 species